rnacentral:lncRNA from 1 species
CUACAAUUCUCUACAAUUAUUCCUAAAAUACAUUUAAGUAUAGAUACAUACUUGAACAGAGAAACAGAAACAAUUGCCCGGCAAAAUCAAUUAUUAUCCAAGUAGCUGAAGAUUAAGAGCAGCCGCUUGUACUGACACGCCCUCCCAAAAUGGAACACACACAGUAGCGAUGUUAAUGUGUAAUCCCCGACACGUGGAUGAAAUUAUGUUCCCUUAAAGAGCCAGGCCUGGCCAGGCAUUACGGCGAGUGCCCUC